GCUCGCUCUCUCUGAGAACUUUCUGUGCUGCGCGUACUUUUCAUUCCCUAAACAGGUUGAAUUCUCCACACGAAUGUUCUAUGAAAUCUUGGACCCUGACUGGGAAUGCCUGGCUGACUCCAGCCUCUGUGAUGCAGAGCAUCUCUGAAAAUCCUACAAACCCACAGUUGUGAUCGCCACACACCCGCAGGCUGGGGAGCCCUUUAGGUUGUGACAUGAGGAGGACAAAAGGCAAUUUCCCCAAAGACCUCUGAGCCAGACGUGUGGAAGCACUUGCGGCACUGGUGGUGCCACCGCACCAUGGCCAAGAAGAAAAGCUUUGGGAAAUGGCAAUGUGAAGAAGCUGGGACUGGGAAAAUUGGUGAGUGCUGCUGGGAAAAGAUGGCUGGACUUAGUGGUCUACUCUGCUACAUUUGAUGAAAGGAAAAAACAAGGAUCUUCACUUGGAUUUAACUCUCCUUUUGGUCCUCUUACACCACUUCAGUACGAAAACAAUUUAUUUACAAUGUCAAUUUUCUUGUAGGUCUCAAACCCAGUUUUAUUGCUUGUCUAGUAGUUGUUUAUAUGGGCAGUUGCUAGGGAAUAGAAAAUUAAUUGUCUUUCUUUCACAUCUCAGCAUGUGAAAAAUCAAAAGUCUGCUACCUUGCUGCUGUCUUUGAAGGUCUAUAGCAAAGGCAAGCAUGGGAAAUAGGAGAGAAUGAGCUUUAGGGCAUCCGAGCAAGAGCAUUGCUAUGAGCUGAUGGAGAUAAGAUGAUUCUUUCACUGUCCUCCUCCUCCCAGCAAAGGUAAAAUAAGGUCUUAAUGAGAGCUGCUUGGAAAGGGGCUUUGUUUUUCCUAAAUACACUUUUUAUCUUUUUAAAGAAAAAUCUGAACCUGAAACUUUGACGUUUGCCUGUACCACAGCUGCCCAUAUGGCUCAAAGGUGUUGCUGUGGAGGGGUUCUCUGCUGUGUGCUCCUGGGGCCAGGCUCUUCCCCCAUGCACUCUUUCUCCUUUGCAGAGAUGCCAGAGCAGCACGCUUGCCACAGUGCAUUUCAGGAGAUAUCAUCAUCCGGAGGCUUGGUGAGGAGAGCAGAGGCGUGAGACAGCCAAACAGUGACUCCCACAAUUCAUUGGCAGCAACGCCAAAUAAAUUUUUUCCACACAUCUGGCCAAAAUGUUUUGGCUUUUACUGUUCAGUCUUUAGAGGGAAGAGAAAAAAAAAUAAAUUGUCCAUCAAAAGCAAGUGUUGUUUUGUGAAAAGAAAACUCAGAAUUUAACUUCAGAAGAGUCUCGACAGAUUUUCUAACCAGUGGUCUAGUAGAACAGAGAGUGCAGAGACAGAUGCUCGCACGAGCAGCAUCCGUGCCCUCCUGCCCUGGCAACUAAGGGAGGGUGCAUUGGAGGUCCUUGGAAAUCCCCCCAGCUCUACAAGGUAAUUCAUGGGGUCCCAGCCCCUUUUGCUUUGGAGACCAUGCAGCUCUCACAGGGCCCUGCUUGCUGAAGGGCCUCUGCAAAGAAAUGAAAGGACCCCUCUUAGUGCCUGAGAGGUGGAGAGCUAAGAAGGACAAUGCUGGUCAGGGUUUUCUUCCUGAAGACUGAAAUGUUGGAAUUCAAACAAUUUAUUCUCGUCUUUCCUGUGUGUUUUCUUUCUUUAUGUGGUUCCCAUUCAGCAGCAAUAUUCUGCUUGUUGCAAUUUAUGGAUAAACUUGCCCUCGCUAAGAAGGAAACUUCUGCAGCAGUGAUAAAUGCCCAUGUUGGUCCUUUUAUUGCUUUUCCAGUGUGCACCGCUUGCAAAAACUGUGGCUGCUCAGCAUUUUUUUUUCCACUUUAAUAUCUGCAAGAUCUUGGUCUUGUCUUCUCUCUUUCAUGUGCAUUAACUUGAGAAAUAAGCAGGCACUGUUUCUUAAAUCCAGAUAAAAAGGAUACAUAAUAAUUACCAGCUGUGUGGCUUCCUGGGGUGGUCCCCCCCACCAUUCUCCCCUAAUCUAAAAAAACUGUGAGCAAGAUCUGAUUAUGACUAUCAGCUGGUCACCAUAUUUGUUCAUAAUGGCCAAUAAAACCCCAAUAAAAAAAAAACCUGUGAUUUUUUUGUCUUUGUUGAGUAUGUGGAGGUAACUCAUGAG